rnacentral:lncRNA from 1 species
UCAACAGAUAAUGGAAGGCCACUGAAGGCUUUCUGAACAGGAGUAGAAUCUUUUUAUAUUUUAAAACUAGUAGACUACAGUAAGUGAGGAAGAUGGAGGGAUGAAAGACGACAACUUUUGUUCAUUUGUUUGUUUGUUUUGCCUGGGUGACUAUCUGCAUGAUGGUAUCUGCUAGAGAUAGGGAAGUCAGAAGAAAGGGCCAAAUCACUGGAGAAAGAAAAUGCUUUACUUGGACAGUCUGGAUGGGAAGUUCCAGUGAGUCAUCCUGGUGGCAAUGACUGGCAGAUUGUUGGAAAUGGAGGAGCUAAAGCGAGAGAGGCUAAGAAUAGAGAUAUGGAUUUGGGAGUUAGUGGCAAAUAGAGUUAAACUAUGGGAAUGUAUAUGAUGGCCUGAGAAGAAAUUAUAGGAGAAGUAAGAAGGACUAAGGGCUGAGCCUGGGAGACAGGACAUGGAGGGGAAAGGCAGCUGAGAGGAGCCUUGAAGAAGACUGAAGAGGAAUAAUUGCUACUGAGGAGAAGCAAGGCAGUUCAGUGUGAUGGAUGCCAAAAGAUGGAGAAGUCAAGGAGGUGGCCACCUGCUGGAGAGUGCAUGUCUCCACUGCCUUCCUCAACCUCUGCAUGUGGAGUCUGCACUUGACAAGAUCAAUGGUGUUCCUUGUUCUGAAGAGGAGAAACAGUAAAAAAUUUGCCAAGGACCCAAGAUAGAAGACUGUGGGCCCAGAUCCUAAUGUAAAAGAAGCCUGCCUCAACUUAAUUUUCCUGGACAGCAAGAGCUAUGAAAAUGAACUGGGUGAAUAUUGGUGUUUUCAGCUUGAGGUUCCAAUGAAUUAGGACAAUCAGAAGGAAGAGUUUAAUUUUGGGGUCUAGCAUGAGACCAUUCAGUUCAAACUUUCAUUUCACAGUUAGGAAACUAGACCCAGAGAGGCACAGUGCUUCGGCUUGAUGCUAAUAGACUGAUUUUGGAAGGCAGUUGAGCUGGAAGACACAGAUCUGGGGGCUGUCAGCCAAGGGCUGAGAAGGAUGUGAAUUAAGAAGGUGGGAAGGGAAUUGAUGGUUAAGGCCUGAGUCUUGAGAGAAACCCAUGGCCAGGAGCAGAGGAGUUAAGAUUCAUUCAGAAAUGCUCCUACAGACGUGGGAGAACAAGGAUUGUUCAGUAUAAUGGAAGCCAAAGGAGAGGGUUUUGAGGAGCAAAAGACUAGCCAACAGUAGCAAUUGUGUCAAGGUGAUCAAGGAAUAAGAUGUAAACAAUUGUUGGAUUUAUAAUAUGAUUUUAAAAGUGCAGUUUCAGUAAAGUGGUAAGAAUGGGAGGACAAUCAAAUGGCACGUGGUGUGUGUGUGUGUGUGUGGAGGUUGUGGUGUGUGUGGGGGGGGAUGUAUGUGUGGAGAGUGUGGCAUGAGAUGCAUGUGCAUAUGUAUGUUUAGGAUGAGGUGUGUGUGGAGAGUGAGAUGUGUGUGUGUAGGAUAUGAGGUGUGUGAGCUGUGUGUGUGUGUGUGUGAUGUGUGUGUAGGGUGCAGUGUUGUGGUAUAUGUGUAUGUGUACAUGGUGUGGGGGGUGCAGGGUGUGUGUGUAUGUAGGAUGCGGUGUGUGUGGAGAGUGAGAUGUGUGUGUAGAGUGCAAUGUGUAUGGGGUGUUUGUAGGGUGCGCUGUACAUGUGGGCAGUGUGUGUGUAUUCUGACUGAAUGCUGAGCACUGGUGCUUGAGCUCUCCUGCCCUGCCUGGGAGGUGGUGUGUCUGAGGUGAGGGGAAGGCUGACCCAGCUGAUGGGUCCUGUGAGGCAGAGGUUGAGGAGGGAGCCAGAGAUGAGAACCAACAACAUGCUCCAGGAAGAGGGACAGGCGCAGAAGCAAGGGGACACCAGACUGGAACAGAUGGACUCAUGCAGUUGUUCCUUGAUGGCCUGUUCACAUAUAGCAUUUGCCAUGUCCCACAAAUGCAGAAUUCUGGUGGAACCACAGUGCGUGGAAGUUCCAGGAGACUGAAAGUGGUGCAAGGUUAAGUGUGUUACAUAUGUAAUUGAGUAAUCAGGGGUGCUGACAGCCCGACAGGCCAUGCCUUCCAUUCGAACCAGAGCUUGCUUCACAUAGAAAGAAAGCAAUGGCUUUCUAAGGAAUGUGGACAAGUGAGGAACCCUAUCAUAUCCUUCUUACUCAUUUCUUCCCUGUGUUAACCAACCACUUACGCUGAAAAUGAUGACACAGAAGAAAGGGAAAGACAGGACAACCCAUAGUUCCUUUUCCUUUCAGCCCUUCCUUACUCAUCAGUAAGCUGAAGGUCAAGAGUAUUGAUGGAACAUGCACGUUAUCAAGAAGUAAAAUUAAAACAGUUGAGUUAGUUUUGUGCAGUGUUCCCGCUGCUCUGGUAAGGACAAAAUAUAUACGCAAGUAAGAGCUAGGAAAUAUGAACUGUGUAAUUUCAAUGAUUCCACGUAUGAGUCAAAUGCACUUAUUUUCAUUUACAACUAACACUACACAACAUAAAGAAUAGUAAAAUUCAUACUAAUAAUUAAAUUUUAAAUUUUUCUUUACUUAAAAUGACAUUAAAUAUCAAAUUAAAAACAUCAUGACUAGUAAAAAAAAAUUGUGGAAGAAAGAAAAAGUUUUAUGCUUUGGUGACCCUUAAUGGCCUUAUUUCCCUCUGGUUUUUGAACAAGGAGCUCGAUAUUUUCAUUUUGUACUGGGCCCUGAAAAUUAUGUUACUGGCCCUGGGUGAGAUGGUUGUUUAUAUUUGUAUGACCAGGGUCAAAAAACAGUCUUGGAACCACAGGAGCAGGGAAGAUUCACCAAUAAAUUGAUGAACACAAGUCUUCAUCAUUACCCACACACACUCACUGGCCCCUCAACAUUGGUAACAAUGGCCAUGGGUGGAGAGUUAAGAAGAUGAUAACUCCCAGAAAACUAUGCUUUUUCUGCUGAUAACUCUUCAACAUCUCACCACACCCAAUAUCUCUGCUUUUGUUAACAAACCAUGAACUGCUUCAAGUUGUCAUACCCUUUCUCACUGUCUUUCUUCUGAUUGGAACGGCCUGGUGAGAGCAGGCUGGUGGGAACACACACCUUCCGAAAGGCCCUCACCACAGCAGAUCACUGCUGGCGUCCGAGCUACUUCCUGCUUGUCCUGUUGUGUCCUUCAUCAGUGACCGCACUCUUGGAGUGCUUGCCUCUGGCUCCUGUUUUCCACCCAUUUCUCAGCCUGGUAACUCCUGGUUUCCAGUCUUAGUGGGCCCACUGCUCUGCUCCCACCUCCUGUGAUAGGGUCGGGAGAGCCGCCAACCCCACUUGACUCCUGGACCCCAUCCAGGCUGUGGUAUGUGCCAGCACCAUCUUCCCAAAGGAUGCUGCCCCUCCCUGAGGCUCAUGGUAUAGCUCUUCUCCCAUAUUCAUACCCCCGUCUUGAAGCCUGGCCCACAUAGGGUUUCCAGAAAGCCUUCCCCGAACCACUAAUAGAAACCCUACUAUACUCACACCUUCCUUAAGAGAUACUUCACAAACCCAGUUUUGUGCGGUGCAAAGGGGAUGAAAUCAGAAAUAACAUAGGUUUAAAUCCUGGUUAACUAACUGAUUUUUGAGUCUGUCAAUAAACCUCUCUGUGCCUCAAUUUCCCCAUCUACAAAAACAGGAUUGUGAUACUUACCUCAUAGGAUCAUUGUGAGGAUUAUGAGAAAUAGCACAGGCAAAGCACCUAGGUGCUGCCUGGCAUGUCCCAGCACUCAGUAAAAGCUCCCCCAACACUUUUCUCCCCCUGCUGGGGUUGGGCACCAUGCCUUAUUCAUGCCUUUAUUCCUUGCAGCACCUAGAGUAACAUCUUGUGGCUGGCAGAUGAUCAAUGCCUGUGGAUUGAAUUAAAUUAAAACUUUCCUUGUGUUA